CUUUUAACUUCACUCCAGAGAAGGGCAGAACAAGGUGUCACAACCUUCACUCUUCAGCUGAUCUACGGCCUGGUCAUCUUUCCAGAGUACGCUCCUUUCUCUCACUCUGCCGUUGUGGACGCUGUACUGCUGGACAUUGUGCCACCCUCAGUCACUGGCAACUGUGAUCAGGAGAACUUCCACAUCACUGUGGACUACAGGAACCAAGAGCCCUUAUUUGUGGUCUUGGUUGGCAAGCGGCUGCUUAACCAUGAGUUUGCUCAACAGUAUUUAAUAGAGGGCGACAGACUUCACCAUCAUGUUGCCCUUCUCUUCGCCGGACGCAGUGUUUGAGCUGUGAGAACCCCGAGGAUCCAUACCGUGUGGUCUUCCACCCGGUAGAAGCUGACGCCAGGGUCCACUUCCCCCCUCACGUCAAACGCUUUGAGGCCUAUAUGUUUUCCUUCGCCGAUGAUGCGGUUGAGCCGAGUGGCCAGGUAACAAAGUUCACCCAACAAU